rnacentral:rRNA from 1 species
CCAAUAGCGUAUAUUAAAGUUGUUGCAGUUAAAAAGCUCGUAGUUGAAUUUCGGGAUCGACGGGUCGGUCGCGCCUCUGGUGUGUACUGGCCCUGUCGGUUUCUCCCUUCUGACGAACCACGAUGUCAUUAAUUUGAUGUCGUGGGAAAUCAGGACUGUUACUUUGAAAAAAUUAGAGUGUUUAAAGCAGGCAUUCGCUUGAAUACAUUAGCAUGGAAUAAUGAAAUAGGACGUUUGAUCUUAUUUUGUUGGUUUCUAAGAUCGACGUAAUGAUUAAUAGGGAUAGUUGGGGGCAUUAGUAUUCAAUUGUCAGAGGUGAAAUUCUUGGAUUUAUUGAAGACUAACUACUGCGAAAGCAUUUGCCAAGGAUGUUUUCAUUAAUCAAGAACGAAAGUUAGGGGAUCGAAGACGAUCAGAUACCGUCGUAGUCUUAACCAUAAACUAUGCCGACUAGGGAUCGGAUGAUGUUAAUUUUUUAAUGACUCAUUCGGCGCCUUACG